GCUCCCGUAGCUCAGUUGGAUAGAGCGGCGGUUUCCUAAACCGCAGGCCACAGGUUCGAAUCCUGUCGGGAGUAC
rnacentral:tRNA from 1 species